ACGAAAAGGCAGGCAGGAACAGCUGAUCACAAGGGAACAAACUUCUACAGUAAGGAAAGAUGAACCAAGGUGGUAUAAACAGUUACUGACCGACUGACUGAGAGCAGGUGAGCAGGAGGUGAGGUGAGUGCAGGACUAAUGAGGAACAGGUGAAACUGAUCAGGGCGGGGCAGACAGUCAAAAGGGCGGGAAAACACACAAAAACAGGAAGUAAAACCAAACAUGACACAUGGGGAGUGAACUUUCAAAAUAAAAUAGGAAACAGACGAAACAAAAACCCAAUAAGACCAUGACAUACUACAUGCUGAAAUAAAUCUGAAAUGCUGUUAAAACUACGGAAACAUUUUAAUCUCAACAUCAAGAUAUCCUUUGGGCUGCAAAUCACCAAAUCAAUGUUUACUGGGGUGGAACAGCUACAGCCUGGAAUUUACUGUUGAUCUCUGUGGAGGCGGAAGCCUAAUUCGUGUGUAAUGGGCGGCACACGCUUGAUAAUCCCAAUAACAUCCUGUAGCUGUUGACGCCCACCUCUCGGGAUCACAACCAUCAGCCGUGCAGAGGAGUGGACAGCAGUGCCGUCAUGGCAUUCUCGCACUGGUUCCGCGCCCCGGGCCCCAGCUUCACGCUGCCGUCCCCCGCCACACACUGCCUGAGGGUGCGCAGGCGCGGGCUGCAGGUGUCGUCGCUGGAGCAGGUGUCUCCGGCACGCAGGCAGUCCCUCCCGCCUGCAGAGAGCGCCAUGCGUGGGACUCCUACAGGACGAGACAGACAGAGGGACAGACUGGAUUCACGUCCGCCUCCCUCUGUGAUCCCUAUGAAAUAUGCCAAUGACCUCACAUUCUCUACCAGGCCUGACUCAGAAGGCUUUAGAUGCUGUGGCUGAAUGGAGACAGGAUAUUUCACAAGUCUCUCCACCUUUAACCUACUUGGAGUGCAGAUAUCAUCUGACCUGUCAUCAUGGGAUGCCCCCAUUCUCUGUUUGAGAAAGAAUGUUAACCAAAAAACAGGAAGUAAAACUGGCUGGAGGGGGGGCUUUAAGUAUAUGCACUCAAAGACACGGCCAAGGAUCCAUUACCUCGGUGUUGCAAAAAGCGCCGGUCUCCCAUGUGGCGUUCUAAAACAAAUUUACCUGACCUUCAUUAGUCCGAUCCUUGAGUAUACUGGCCCAGUUUGUGGUGGGCUGACUAAAGGCCUCUCCGAGGAGCUGGAGUGAAAGGCGUGAUGAGGCCACCCUGCAAACCCUCACCAACAUACUCAAAGACAGUUCAUCCCCUCUGCACAGUUUCCUGCCUGCAGCCUCAACACCCUGGCUCACUUCGUAGGCGCAGGGACAUUAUAGUGUCCAUGAGUUGGACCAAAAAACCUGAACUUUCCUUUAUCCUCCAUGCUUUUACAUUGUCUUAAGCUGAAAACACACUGCCGUCGCAGCACCAAUAGGAAGCGUUGCGCUGCAGCGCGUCUAGAGUAUUUUUACACAGUGUUAUUACUACUUUUACUAAAAUUUCUUCUAAGUCUGCAUUAAAGGGACUGUUUGUAACUUCUUACACGUAUAAAUCAUGUCAAACUUUAAUAAAUGAAACACAAUCACAAUAGUCAAAAGACAAGGAUUCAUUGUCUGUGUGCUCUGGAUAUAUGCACCAAAUUUCAUGGCAAUCCAUCAAAAAAUCAUUGAGAUAUUUCAAUCUGCACCAAAGCGGUAGAUGGACUGACCGACAUAGAGCCAUCCCUGGAGCCAUCCCUGGAGCCAUGCAGCAGCAGCCAGAACAAACUCCUAUUGUGCAGCCAAACUUUGUUCAAAAACCCACAAAACUUUAU